GACGAACGCUGGCGGCGUGCCUAAUACAUGCAAGUCGAACGCUCUAGCAAUAGGGAGUGGCGCACGGGUGAGUAACGCGUGGGAAUGUACCAUUUAGUGGGGGCUAACUUCGGGAAACUGAAGCUAAUACCGCAUACGCCCUUCGGGGGAAAGAUUUAUCGCUAAAUGAUCAGCCCGCGUGAGAUGAGAUAGUUGGUGGGGUAAUGGCCUACCAAGUCUACGAUCUCUAGCUGGUCUCAGAGGCUGAUCAGCCACACUGGAACUGAGACACGGUCCAGACUCCUACGGGAGGCAGCAGUGGGGAAUAUUGGGCAAUGGGCGAAAGCCUGAUCCAGCCAUGCCGCGUGAGUGAUGAAGGCUCUAGGGUUGUAAAGCUCUUUCGCCGAUGAAGAUAAUGACGGAAGUCGGAGAAGAAGCCCCGGCUAACUUCGUGCCAGCCGCCGCCGUAAUAC
rnacentral:rRNA from 1 species